GAAGCGACUUGCCUGAGCAAGUGUCAAAGCUAGGAUGAGAACACAGGAAUUCCUGACUCCCAGACCCCUGCUCUAACCAGUAGGUUUUGCUGCUUUAUUUGCUUAACUUUAGUUAAUUCCAAUGGAAAACAGAAAAGCCAGGGGGCGGUGCAAGAGCUGACCCCAGCAGCCAAUGGCAGACUGCGGUGUACUGGCCCAUGGGGGAUUCCAGUGGAUUUUGACAUGCCUAUUUUGGAAUCACAGUGUUGCUGAAGGACAGCCAGGAAAUACUGUGUACAACAAAGGGAAAGCCUCUGACACAGGCAGGAAAAGUCAGGUCAGACUAGAUGAUCAUAAUGGUCCCUUCUGACCUUAAUAUCUAUGAAUCUAUGGUGCUGCUUACACUGAACAAAUACAAUCUGUGAGUGAUUCAAAGGACAUCCUGAAAUAAAGCAGAUGAAAGCAAUCCAGCCCUACAUUCUCAGGGAUCUGGUCCAUGGCUAGCUACCAUCUCAACAAAAAGGUCAGUCUGGAUAAAGGAGAAAAAAACAGAUGGAAGAACUCUCACACCAAGACAUGACUGGAAGGUCAACAAAACCUGAUGAAUGAACAAAGGGAAGCAAACUCAGCAGUCAAGUAAACCUCACUGAAAAUACCUUGCCUCCAAGUCUCCUCAUUAUUAAGCCUGGGAGCUGUUAGAUCAUGCAUCUCAACUAAUCUCAGCUACUACGGUCAGGUGUGAGGCAGACGUCAGAGUUAACCAGGUUCUAACCAAUUUAAGGCUUUGUAUGUUAGAACCAACAUCUUAAACUGCAUCCAAAAACAAAGUGGAAGCCUGCACAGAUUAUAGAAUACAGGCACAGCCCUCCCUCAUAAACCAGCCGCUGCAUCUUGUGCCAGAUAAGGUUUUUGAAAGGCUUACGGCCUUAUAGGACCCAGCAGCCUAGAGGUGACAGAGGCAGAGAUCUCUGUGUUAGGGUCCUUUAUCCUAAAGGGAAAGUUGUAACUUUCUCACCAAGCAUGAGAGGGAUGAGUUGACCUAGCUAGGAUCUGAGCCUGCACUUGCAGAGAGUAUUUCAGAUAUGAGGGUAAGGUCACUAAACUAUCCCCAGUGUCCCCUUGGGGCCUGUCAUCCACAGACUAAGCACCAUCUAGUUCAGCACUCCUAAAGUUGACAGCUGUAAUCGAUGCACUACAAUGGUGGAGAAGUAUUAUGAAAAGUGAUGUACCCGGGAG